rnacentral:rRNA from 1 species
GACGAACGCUGGCGGCGUGCUUAACACAUGUAAGUCGAACGAGAUCUUCGGGUCUAGUGGCGCACGGGUGCGUAACGCGUGGGAAUCUGCCCUUUGGUUCGGAAUAACAGUUGGAAACGACUGCUAAUACCGGAUGAUGACGAAAGUCCAAAGAUUUAUCGCCAGAGGAUGAGCCCGCGUAGGAUUAGCUAGUUGGUGUGGUAAAGGCGCACCAAGGCGAAGAUCCUUAGCUGGUCUGAGAGGAUGAUCAGCCACACUGGGACUGAGACACGGCGCAGACUCCUACGGGAGGGAGCAGUGGGGAAUAUUGGACAAUGGGCGAAAGCCUGAUCCAGUAAUGCCGCGUGAGGGAUGAAGGCCUUAGGGUUGUAAAGGUCUUUUACCCGGGAUGAUAAUGACAGUACCGGGAGAAUAAGCUCCGGCUAACUCCGUGCCAGCAGCCGCCGCCG